GGUUGCGAUCAUACCAGCACUAAUGCACCGGAUCCCAUCAGAACUCCGCAGUUAAGCGUGCUUGGGGAGAGUAGUACUAGGAUGGGUGACCCCCUGGGAAGUCCUCGUGUUGCAACCC
rnacentral:rRNA from 1 species